rnacentral:rRNA from 1 species
UCGAGGAUCUUCGGCAAUGGGCGCAAGCCUGACCGAGCGACGCCGCGUGUGCGAUGAAGGCCUUCGGGUUGUAAAGCACUGUCGAGGGGGAGGAAAGCCCGUAAGGGUCUGACCUAUCCCUGGAGGAAGCACGGGCUAAGUUCGUGCCAGCAGCCGCGGUAAGACGAACCGUGCGAACGUUGUUCGGAUUCACUGGGCUUAAAGGGCGCGUAGGCGGCUUGCCAAGUCAGGGGUGAAAUCUUUCGGCUCAACCGGAAAACAGCUUUUGAUACUGGCAGGCUGGAGGUAGGUAGGGGCAUGUGGAACUUCCAGUGGAGCGGUGAAAUGCGUAGAUAUUGGAAGGAACGCCGGUGGCGAAAGCGACGUGCUGGACCUUACCUGACGCUGAUGCGCGAAAGCCAGGGGAGCAAACGGGAUUAGAUACCCCCGUAGUCC